rnacentral:tRNA from 1 species
GCCUGGGUGGCUCAGUCGGUUGAGCGUCUGACUUCGGCUCAGGUCAUGAUCUCACGGUCCGUGAGUUCGAGCCCCGCAUCGGGCU